UGACAAAAUAGGUAUAGUUCUUCCAUUGAACCAAUUAACAUAUUCUAAGUAAUAUUAUGAUUUUAGACUGUACAAAAUCCCAAGACAAAGUCAAGACAAUCACCACCAAGAUAGAGCCUGUGGAAAAAGCCAAAAUAAUUCCAAUGAAGAAAGGGCUUACAGUCUCCAAACUCAAAGGCAAAACAAUCACCACUAAGAAAGAACCGUCUGUGGCAAAAUCCAAAGCCAAAAGGUUACCUGUAAAGAAUGCUGAGCCCCCUAAAGAGAAAGCCUCUCUAAGACACUCAACCAUGAGAAAAGAUAACCUCACAAAUAUACCAGUGCCAAUGGUAAAAGCCACUGCAAGAGUUGCUGCCACAAGACCCAUCUUUACAAGAAAAGCUGAAGACAAGCCAAAAGUACCAGAUGAGAAAGAAGAAAAGGUGAAGAAUCUUAAAACAUCAGAAGAUGAAGUUGAGAAGACUGAGAAGACUGAGAAGAGAGUGGUGAAAGAGGCUACAGAAGGAGACACGAAGCAUCCUGAUAAAGCAGAAGAGUCUCUGGCUGAGGAGAAUGUCACAGACAAGAAAAAAACAGGCCAGAAAGUCUUGCAGUGUGUCUUAAUGGCCGGAAAGAAUACCUACUACCCUAUGCAACCUUUCACCCCUGGCAUAACCCCUGUGUCGAUGAGCCCAGCCAUGCGGUCAAUGAUGAUGCAGCAGGCACAGCAGCAGACACAGCAGCAGAAGGCCAGAGCGGCAGGGCAAUAGAACAGUUCCACACCUCAACGAUGCCUCAGCUACUCCAUCUGCACUGCAGUCUUCACCAGCAGGUGGCACUGUUUGUUUUUACUGCUGUGCCACUGGCUUAAUUGAAAACGCAGGACAAUCAGGGGCUGAAGUGUACGGAAGAAUGGUCAGUACAGUACCAGUAAGGUUCCUAUGACCGGUUGAGCUCCCCGAAACCCCUUUCCAUCACCAGCUUUGCUGCUUUUGUUAUCGCUCAGCAUCAAGUCCUUUGUCAUGUAUGUCUUUCAGCAAAUGUAUUUGUCAUGAACACGAGUGUAGGUUUUGUCUAUAUUACCUUCAGCAGUGAAUUUAUCACUUAUGUAAAUUUCAACUAAAUGCAGUGUAUAUAUGCAUAGAAAUUGUAAUUUAGCUUCAAUCCAGUGUAUAUAAUGUACAUGUUGAUAUUACAUCUUGCGGUUUACAUUUGUUGAAUGGUUACUUGGCAUUCAUCUUUUGCAUCACAACAUUCAUCCCUUUUGUGAUUACAGAACAUGUAUGCACAUAACAUUUUGGGUCAUGCAUUAUCCACGGCAUUGUAAUGUUUCACUUCACCACAUGUUUUGAUUGUUUUGUGAAAACUGUUGCUUGUUUUGGUGCGAAACAUAUCCAUCUCUAUGCUUUGGAGAGAGUGCCAUGCACUGCAGUUAUUGCUCUCUUUAUCUUAUCUGUACAUUGAAAUCCUAAGCCAUAUAUUGACAUUCACAUCAAACCCUGAAAAAGCACAAAAAAACUAAGAAAUAACUGAUAAAGAUUUGUAUUUGCCUAAAAUGUAUUUGUAUACAAAAAUAUAUGUAUUUAUAUAUAUAUAUAUAUAUAUAUACAUAUAUAUAUAUAUAUAUAUAUGUAUGUGUAUGUAUUAUAUUCUUAAAAA
ensembl:lncRNA